rnacentral:lncRNA from 1 species
UUUUUGGGCAAGAAGGCUAAGGUUUCAUCUUGUGGAUUGCUUGGGGGUUGCUUUGGUGAUUUCUUUUUGUCAAUUCUUUAGUAUAAGGCUUAAUUCUCUUCCCUCAUUGUAAUUUAACUAAAGACAUGGUUUGUAUUAUUGAUUUCAUGAUUCUACUAUUUCAUGGAUAUGGUUUUCAACUAUUAUUUGGGAGUUUUGAUAUUGAAUGCUUGGUUAUGGAUUCCCGU